rnacentral:rRNA from 1 species
GGUUAAGCGACUAAGCGUACACGGUGGAUGCCCUGGCAGUCAGAGGCGAUGAAGGACGUGCUAAUCUGCGAAAAGCGUCGGUAAGGUGAUAUGAACCGUUAUAGCCGGCGAUGUCCGAAUGGGGAAACCCAGUGCAAUUCGUUGCACUAUCGUUAACUGAAUACAUAGGUUAACGAGGCGAACCGGGGGAACUGAAACAUCUAAGUACCCCGAGGAAAAGAAAUCAACCGAGAUUCCCCCAGUAGCGGCGAGCGAACGGGGAGCAGCCCAGAGUCUGAAUCAGCUUGUGUGUUAGUGGAACGGUCUGGAAAGUCCGACGGUACAGGGUGAUAGUCCCGUACACCAAAAUGCACAGGCUGUGAACUCGAAGAGUAGGGCGGGACACGUGGUAUCCUGUCUGAAUAUGGGGGGACCAUCCUCCAAGGCUAAAUACUCCUGACUGACCGAUAGUGAACCAGUACCGUGAGGGAAAGGCGAAAAGAACCCCGGCGAGGGGAGUGAAAAAGAACCUGAAACCGUGUACGUACAAGCAGUGGGAGCACCUUCGGGUGUGACUGCGUACCUUUUGUAUAAUGGGUCAGCGACUUAUAUUCUGUAGCAAGGUUAACCGUAUAGGGGAGCCGCAGGGAAACCGAGUCUUAACUGGGCGUUAAGUUGCAGGGUAUAGACCCGAAACCCGGUGAUCUAGCCAUGGGCAGGUUGAAGGUUGGGUAACACUAACUGGAGGACCGAACCGACUAAUGUUGAAAAAUUAGCGGAUGACUUGUGGCUGGGGGUGAAAGGCCAAUCAAACCGGGAGAUAGCUGGUUCUCCCCGAAAGCUAUUUAGGUAGCGCCUCGUGAAUUCAUCUUCGGGGGUAGAGCACUGUUUCGGCUAGGGGGUCAUCCCGACUUACCAACCCGAUGCAAACUACGAAUACCGAAGAAUGUUAUCACGGGAGACACACGGCGGGUGCUAACGUCCGUCGUGAAGAGGGAAACAACCCAGACCGCCAGCUAAGGUCCCAAAGUCAUGGUUAAGUGGGAAACGAUGUGGGAAGGCACAGACAGCCAGGAUGUUGGCUUAGAAGCAGCCAUCAUUUAAAGAAAGCGUAAUAGCUCACUGGUCGAGUCGGCCUGCGCGGAAGAUGUAACGGGGCUAAACCAUGCACCGAAGCUGCGGCAGCGACACUAUGUGUUGUUGGGUAGGGGAGCGUUCUGUAAGCCUGCGAAGGUGACCUGUGAGGGUUGCUGGAGGUAUCAGAAGUGCGAAUGCUGACAUAAGUAACGAUAAAGCGGGUGAAAAGCCCGCUCGCCGGAAGACCAAGGGUUCCUGUCCAACGUUAAUCGGGGCAGGGUGAGUCGACCCCUAAGGCGAGGCCGAAAGGCGUAGUCGAUGGGAAACAGGUUAAUAUUCCUGUACUUGGUGUUACUGCGAAGGGGGGACGGAGAAGGCUAUGUUAGCCGGGCGACGGUUGUCCCGGUUUAAGCAUGUAGGCUGGUUAUCCAGGCAAAUCCGGAUAAUCAAGGCUGAGGUGUGAUGACGAGGCACUACGGUGCUGAAGUAACAAAUGCCCUGCUUCCAGGAAAAGCCUCUAAGCAUCAGGUAACAUCAAAUCGUACCCCAAACCGACACAGGUGGUCAGGUAGAGAAUACCAAGGCGCUUGAGAGAACUCGGGUGAAGGAACUAGGCAAAAUGGUGCCGUAACUUCGGGAGAAGGCACGCUGGUGUGUAGGUGAAGCCCCUGCGGGUGGAGCUGAGACCAGUCGAAGAUACCAGCUGGCUGCAACUGUUUAUUAAAAACACAGCACUGUGCAAACACGAAAGUGGACGUAUACGGUGUGACGCCUGCCCGGUGCCGGAAGGUUAAUUGAUGGGGUUAUCCGUAAGGAGAAGCUCUUGAUCGAAGCCCCGGUAAACGGCGGCCGUAACUAUAACGGUCCUAAGGUAGCGAAAUUCCUUGUCGGGUAAGUUCCGACCUGCACGAAUGGCGUAAUGAUGGCCAGGCUGUCUCCACCCGAGACUCAGUGAAAUUGAACUCGCUGUGAAGAUGCAGUGUACCCGCGGCAAGACGGAAAGACCCCGUGAACCUUUACUAUAGCUUGACACUGAACAUUGAGCCUUGAUGUGUAGGAUAGGUGGGAGGCUUUGAAGCGUGGACGCCAGUCUGCGUGGAGCCAACCUUGAAAUACCACCCUUUAAUGUUUGAUGUUCUAACGUUGGCCCCUGACCGGGGUUGCGGACAGUGUCUGGUGGGUAGUUUGACUGGGGCGGUCUCCUCCCAAAGCGUAACGGAGGAGCACGAAGGUUAGCUAAUCCUGGUCGGACAUCAGGAGGUUAGUGCAAUGGCAUAAGCUAGCUUGACUGCGAGCGUGACGGCGCGAGCAGGUGCGAAAGCAGGUCAUAGUGAUCCGGUGGUUCUGAAUGGAAGGGCCAUCGCUCAACGGAUAAAAGGUACUCCGGGGAUAACAGGCUGAUACCGCCCAAGAGUUCAUAUCGACGGCGGUGUUUGGCACCUCGAUGUCGGCUCAUCACAUCCUGGGGCUGAAGUAGGUCCCAAGGGUAUGGCUGUUCGCCAUUUAAAGUGGUACGCGAGCUGGGUUUAGAACGUCGUGAGACAGUUCGGUCCCUAUCUGCCGUGGGCGCUGGAGAAUUGAGGGGGGCUGCUCCUAGUACGAGAGGACCGGAGUGGACGCAUCACUGGUGUUCGGGUUGUCAUGCCAAUGGCACUGCCCGGUAGCUAAAUGCGGAAGAGAUAAGUGCUGAAAGCAUCUAAGCACGAAACUUGCCCCGAGAUGAGUUCUCCCUGAGACUUUAAGUCUCCUGAAGGAACGUUAAAGACGAUGACGUUGAUAGGCCGGGUGUGUAAGCGCAGCGAUGCGUUGAGCUAACCGGUACUAAUGAACCGUGAGGCUUAACCUU